GAAUUUUUGCAGCUCAAGCUGCCCAAUGGAUAACUUUGCGAAACGCAAAGCUAAUACAUGCAUGAACAGCAGGGCGCGCCACCCAGGGGCGGCGGUAACACGCGGCCCCGGCGCACCUGCGCGAAUGGUCGCUACGAAGACCACCGCCGAGCAAUCGGCAGAGUCCCAGAGCGAUGAAUCAGACCAUUCAGCGAAAGCUCGCUUCGGCGAGCGGGUCCCGACUAGUCUCUGCCCUAUCAGCUCGGACGGUAGUGUAUUGGACUACCGUGGCGAUAACGGGUACGGGGAAUUAGGGUUCGAUUCCGGAGAGGGAGCCUGAGAGAUAGCUACCACUCCUACGGAGGGCAGCAGGCGCGUAAAUUGCCCAAUGCCAAAUCGGCGAGGCAGCGACGAACAAUAGCGAUCCCGACUCUUCGGAGCUCGGGAGUUGCAAUGUGUGGUACGUAAAGCCACCAAC
rnacentral:rRNA from 1 species